rnacentral:pre_miRNA from 1 species
UGGUGACCUGUGGCUCUCUGGCUAUCACUCUGUCCCAGCCCCUCCUGGCCCGCGGGGCACAGGCUGAGUCACAGUAAGAGUCUGUGGGCUCCUGACCC